UUUAAGUGCAACCAUAAGUUUUCACGUUCAACUUUGAUUGUUCGUCUUAUUUAAAUAUUUUUUUUUAUAAUUAGUAUUUUGUUGUUAUGAGAUGAUAAAACAUGAAUAAUGCUUUACUUGUGACUUAUGUUUUUAAAUUUUUUUUAAAAAAUUAUAAAUAAGACGGAUGGUUAAAGUUAGACGCGGUAAACCAUGGCUACACUUAGA
rfam:Oryza rufipogon genomic scaffold, chr11